UGCCGAUUGGUGUAGUGGUAGCACACGUGUCUCUGGAACACGGAACCCUGGUUCGAAUCCAGGAUCGGCAGCCA
rnacentral:tRNA from 2 species